rnacentral:rRNA from 1 species
AGUGAACGCUGGCGGCGUGCCUAAUACAUGCAAGUCGAACGGAGUGGCGCACGGGUGAGUAAUGUAUAGCUAAUCUGCCCUACACUAGAGGACAACAGUUGGAAACGACUGCUAAUACUCUAUAGUGUAGGAUGAGGCUAUAUUGUAUCAGCUAGUUGGUGAGGUAAUGGCUCACCAAGGCUAUGACGCAUAACUGGUCUGAGAGGAUGAUGAGUAACACCGGAAGUGAGACACGGUACAGGCACAUACGGGAGGCAGCGGUAGGGAAUACUACUCAAUGGGGGAAAGCCUGAAGCAGCAACGCCGCGUGGAGGAUGACACUUUUCGGAGCAUAAACUCCUUUUGAUAGAGAAGCGGUACCUAACGAAUAAGCACCGGCUAACUCCGUGCCAGCCGCCGCGGUAAUUC